rnacentral:lncRNA from 1 species
GCUCCUCCUCCUCCUCCCUGUUCCGCCGGUUCUUCCACUGUUAGCUGAAAAUUUCUUCUUCUCAUGUUAGUGAAUGAUCAAUAUAUAUAUGCCCUAAUUUAGUAAAUUAAAUUUUGUCUGCCCUAAUUUUGAAUUCCCCUAAUUAUCAGUUAAUAUUCAAGGUUAAUGCAAGAAUUCGUAAAAAAAUUAGUAAAUAUUUCAUUCAAUGUACAUGUCAACUGAAAUUUUGAUAAUUUUGUGCCCUAAUUUGUCAUUUACCGAAAUUGGUAAUUCUGAAUAAUUGUUGAAUCUGAAAUUAGGACGUCGACAAUAGUGGAAUCUGCAUAUUGAGUUCAAUUCAAUUUGUUGAAUAUUGCAUACUGAAAUUGGAGCCUUGUCAUUCAAUUUGUUUUCUUCUGAAAUUGGGAAUCUGCAUAUUGAGUUGAAUGCUAGCUGAAAUUGGAGCCUUGUCAUUCAAUUUGUCACGUCUGAAAUUGGGAAUGUGCAUAUUGAGUUGAAUGUUAGCUAAAAUUGGAGCCUUGUCAUUCAAUUUGUCACGUCGGCUGAAACUUUUUUAUGUUACUAAUGAAUCUAAUAAUUGAUUCAAGUUGGGUUUAAUUUGUGCAAUUUUGUCAUUCAAUUUGUCACGUCGGCUGAAACUUUUUUAUGUUACUAAUGAAUCUAAUAAUUGAUUCAAGUUGGGUUUAAUUUGUGCAAUUUUCAUAUUUAUAAUUUGAUAUUGAGGCUGAUGUUAG